UACGUAGGGUGCGAGCGUUAAUCGGAAUUACUGGGCGUAAAGCGUGCGCAGGCGGUCUGUUAAGACAGAUGUGAAAUCCCCAGGCUUAACCUGGGAACUGCAUUCGAGACUGCAUAGCUAGAGUAUGGGAGAGGGAAGUGGAAUUUCAGGUGUAGCGGUGAAAUGCGUAGAUAUCUGAAGGAACAUCAGUGGCGAAAGCGACUUCCUGGACCAAUACUGACGCUCAUGUGCGAAAGCGUGGGGAGCAAACAGG
rnacentral:rRNA from 1 species